UUGUAGGACAUGUGAAUGCCAGUGCUCAUGGAGAAAGGUGGAGGAAGAGAGCCAGAGCGCAGUUCACCUCUGGGAGAGCAGACCAGAGUGGCUUCCGUGGGCACAUGCUGGAUUGAAGUGAGAAGACGUGACUACUAAAGUUGAGGCCCCAAGUCUCAGCUUCUUUCCCCUCCAAAGCAUGAGUGGAGGAUUCACUUAAGGCCACUUUGGCUGCCACCAGUGCACCAUUGGCAGAACCAUUGGCAGAGUCCAGCUGGCAAGAGGGCCUCGUCAUCCCUGCAAGACAUAGCAGAGCAAGGGAAAGGUGCACCAUGAAUCCAAUAUGAUGGUAUCCUCAUAAGGAGAGGAGAAGAGACACAAAAACAGACACACCCUGGCAGAUCACUGUGUGACUACGGAAACAGAGACUGAAGCAAUGUGUUUACAAGCCAAGGAACACCAUGAAUUGCUGGCAAUAACCCAAAACUACAAAGAGGCAAGGAAAGAAUCUUCCCUAGCACCUUCAGAGAGAACAUGACCCUGCUGACAUCUUGAUUUUGGAUCUCUAGCUCCCA